CAAGGGUAGCAGGAAUAACAUUCUUUUCUGUACAAGACCUGGUGCAACCAUAGGACCCUGGUUGCAACAAUAUACUCACAGUUCAUGUCAAUUAUGUCAUACCCGGUAUCAAGGAGUGGGAACUCUGGAGUCUCAGCCACCAUGAGAUCUCUGGAAAAACGAAACUCCUGCAGUACCACGGUGAUCAGUACCGUCAGAGCUUGUCGGUGCUGACUCGCUGGCCCUGAGGAAAUCAGCAGAGAUCUUGCCCAAGAUGGUCAGUCCGAGAAGGGUUGCUUGGAAGUAGUUGUUACCGAGGAUUACCAUACUGGUACCAGGGUCUGCGCUCUUGCCUUUGACAGGAGCUAGCCUUCAGCUGCUGGCAGAAAGUACACCUCUGUGGAAGGGAGCUUCUCUGAGGCACCAGAUGCAGUGGCAUGUCCAUCCAUAACCGGUAUUUUCUUCCUGAAGGACAGGAUGGAUCCCUGGCUCACAGCCUGUCUCCGUGGAGUCACCAUGCCCCACAUGCCAGAGGCAGUUGCUCGCGACACGCAGCAAUAGCUGCUGACCCUAAUUCAGUGAGUAGCGCUUGGUGAGUGGAGUCCAGUGCCAGGAACCUCAAGUCCCCGAUGGAGCCCAGGAACCCUUCACUGGAUCCACGCGCGGAACCAAGCCAGGGAUGGCGUCCCCACAGCCACCUGAGUAUGAAUCAGGCUCAGUGCCCUCCAGGGGGAAAGGCCCCAUCUCCUGUCCCUCCAACUUUGCGGCCCCCUAACCCAGCACAGUGGCCUGGAGCAAAUGGUUCCUAGGGUAAACAGACUGCACUCCCCACACCUCCCCGUCUCCAUCAGCCCCUCAAUCCUCGACAUCCCAGCCUUUGACCUUAGAACACCAGUUUUGAUGCCUUGGUCAAGGUCCCGAGAGACCAUGUGACGAAGUUUGGGAUUUUUGUAGUGUUUUCCAUUAAUAGCGUGUGCACUCCUCAGUUUCCCUGUGUGCUGUAUGUUUAACAAGGUGGUGGGAGAGGGUUUGUUGUUGCAGAGGAUCAGGUGUGACCUUGCCUGGCAGCUGGGACCCCCAAACAAUAGCCUGGAGAAGGGGAACCCUAACAACUGGUGACCUGGAGACUAAGAGGCCCACCCCAGCUUGGCCAGUGAGAGCACAAAGGGCUGAAGAGAGAGGACCCUGGUGACCUGAUCAACCAGUUCCAGCCAGAGGGGAACAAAGUACUGAAGAGAGAGGGCCCCAGCGGUCUCUUUACCUGGGAUGGAAGACAAAGGACAGGGGAGGAGCUGUUGGGGCCGGUGAUAUCAGAUGCCCAGCUGAAAAGCUCAGGUUCUCUGGACUGGAGAGAGUGAGCAGGCAGAGCCCACCUGGGUGCAUAGGCAUGCGCACGGGGUGUGCUGUGUGUGCCCCGGCACACCCUAAUGUCCUGAGCUCCGGCUGGGAAGGCUGCUCCUUCCCCCUCCCCUCCUCAGCUGUUUGCCAGGCAGACUCAAAUCAACUGCUUUCUGCCUCCCUGCAGGGGCCGAGUGAGUCUCACACACACACACAAAAAGCCUUAGGUUAGGUGUGGGUGGGAGUGCGGGGCUACCAGUAGCAGCACAGCCAGCCCCUGCUUACCUAGGGCUGCCCCGCACUUCUUGGGCUGGUGGCCAUGGUGUCCACGUGUAUGGCUGCUCCCUGCUAGCCAGGCUCCAUUCCGGCCACAGCAGGCAGCAGGUGACCCAAGGGAGCCCAGCGAGGCUAGGGCUGGGUGCAGUGGGAGAAGCUCCAGAUACCGGCAGGGGCCAUGCGGGGGUGGGGGAA